rnacentral:lncRNA from 1 species
ACUAUAUAUUGUACCAAAGAAAAUGGCUCAUGAAUACAAAAAUUUGAAUGUAAACAGGAAGUUCUUUGUUCAUGUUGUUGGAGGCAAACGGAAUAGAGCUAACUUGAAACUCUAAAAUGCUUUUAGAGAGAUAUCAGAUGAAAGAGUGUGUAUAUCUAGUUAUUUGAAGUAUGCCUAUGUAUGAAUUGAUGUAGUCAGAGAAAUCAGAUGGCUUCAGUGACUAUGCUACAGGAUGAUAUGAGAUCACAGACAGAAAUUCCAUCAAGGAUCAAGCAUAAAUUACAGAAUAUUUCAACUAUAAUUUAAAUGGCUGGAAUGAAGUUCCUGACACUGGUGAUGGUUUUGGAAAAGCAAAGAGACAUUCUGAUGCCACCUUGUAUUGAGCCUACGAUACUCCAAAAAAUUUUUAUCAAAUUAUUUUGAUAUUUAAUAUAUCUUUUAGUUUAAUUUUCAAGUUUAAGCUAAGUAAAUUUUUAUUUUUCUUAACCACAGAUGUAAAAGCUGCUGGCAGAUGUGUUAUUCCCCUUUGAAUUUUAUACUUUUUGUGUUUUUGAAACCCAGACCUGUCUCAAUAUUUUA